ensembl:snoRNA SNORA53 small nucleolar RNA SNORA53
AACACGCUCCUUAGAUCCACCUCUGGGGAGGUUCUCCGCUCCGGUUCUGUUGUGUUCUCUCUCUGGGAGCAGCAGGAUCCACCCGGAGACUCCCAGCAGCUUCACGGCUGUACAGUUGGAGGUGCUUGAGUCAUUGGCGUGUGAGAUCAGUCCACCUGCUUACCCAGAAUCCUCUCUGCCCUGAUCCUUCACAGGAAAACACCAGAGCAGAACAGCUGGAGAGCAGACAAA